ACGGAAGGCAGAAGGUGGACUUCCGGGAAGGCCGUGGCUUCAGGGGUUGUUUUGGUGGCUGCCGUGUCCAGCCCCAUGGAGAAACGGUUUAAAACGGAUGAGAACUUCUGGACCAGCCUGCCUUUCUUCUGUAGAUGAGAGAACUGAGGCCUGUAGCGUUCAAGCGACUUGACCAGUUUCCCCGAGCCCUCUGCCUCCAUCUCAGCCCUUCACAGUCCUACUUAGAACUUUCUGGACUUUGCUCAAAUAUUAUCUUCUCCAUGAGGAAGUUUCCCUGCCAGAAAUGAGGUCUUAAGAGGUUCACAGAAUUUUACAAGUGAAAGGGACCAUUCUCCAAUCCCUUCAUUUUACAAGUGAACAGAGACCAAGAGCCUUUCCUGAAACUUCCCCAUUGCAUUUGGGUUAGUAUGUCACAUAUGUAACAAUAUUCAAGACAGCAUGUACUUUGAAAUCAGUUUAACUUUCUCUGAUAGACUGUAAAUUUGCGUCUUUUGGUUCACUUUGGAUCAAGCUUUUAAAACUGAAUAAAUACAUAGAUACGCACAUAUGUGUGGGUAUAUGUACAUAUGUAUAUAUGUGUGUAUAUGUUUAUACAUAUUUUUGGUGAAAACUGAAAAUAAAGAUCUGUUUUCAUGUUCUCUGUAAAAAAUCAUGAAAACAAUUUGAUAUAUGAAA